rnacentral:rRNA from 1 species
UACAGAGGUCUCGAGCGUUAGGCGGAAUCACUGGGCUUAAAGCGUGUGUAGGCGGAUCGUUAAGUACCUUGUGAAAUCCCACGGCUUAACCGUGGAACUGCUUGGUAUACUGGCGGUCUUGAGCCAGCUAGGGGCUACCGGAACAAAUGGUGGAGCGGUGAAAUGCGUAGAUAUCAUUUGGAACGCCAAUGGUGAAAACAGGUAGCUGGGGCUGUGCUGACGCUGAGACACGAAAGCCAGGGGAGCAAACGGG